UACAUGCGGACUGAUGUGUUAAUUUGCAUCUUGUUUAGAAUAGAGAUUGGCUCCAAAUCUGUCUUAUUCUCAACAUAUUCAUCAAAGUUUAUAUGUUGCAAGUAUUUUUAGUUAACGGGUUUUUCGAAAAAAAGUUCAGUAGUAAAAUAAGUGUUUCAAAGAAGUAAACCUUGAGGGUAUACAAAAAAGAAUAACAGAGGCCGUUAUAGUUCGAUGAUGGUUACACCUGGGCUUUCGAAAGUUCUCUGUGUACUGCAGGAAUACCAGGAUAUUCAUUUACCAAUUGACACACCAAAAGUUGCUAACAAAAACAAUAACAAUGAAGAGGGUGUACAAAAAGCAGAAAUAACGAAGAUACUUUCCACCGAUGAAAAGUUCCUCUCCGAUCUAUGGUUACAGUUCGAGCAAUACAUGGCACUGCCGGUGCAACGAAAAUUUUGCAACGGUCAUACAAAGUUUUGGAAUGGACGGAAAGGAAAGGCCAAACAGUAUUUGCUGCGUGGAGGCGUUGAAGAAACAGCUCAUAUGUCCAUGUUUUGUAGAGAUCUGAAUAAGCAAUAGAUUAUUUAUUUUAUUAAAUACUGAAGGUAAUGAACACGAUGACGAGGACCAAGAUCGAUACGUACUGUCGAUUGUAGAAAAUUAUUGGUGAUACAUACAGUGUAUAACUUCAAUUAGCGACGCUUCGUGGUUUCGAUAUUGCUAGAAAUAGCUAUUCGAAAAUCUUAGAAACAGACCGUAUUUUAGGGACAAGAGAUUUCCAAAUUCUUACCCGUUUUUUUAAACGAUGUCAAUACGAUUAAAACUAAAAUAAAAAAAAUAUACCAAA